CUUAUCAAGAGUGGUGGAGGUACCGGGACCUAUGAAGCCACGGCAACCUUUUCAGUAAGGUGCCAAUUCCUGCGGUUUUUUCCGAGAGAUAAG
rnacentral:ncRNA from 1 species